rnacentral:rRNA from 1 species
AACGAACGCUGGCGGCAUGCCUAACACAUGCCAGUCGAACGAGACCUUCGGGUCUAGUGGCGCACGGGUGCGUAACGCGUGGGAAGCUGCCCUUAGGGUCGGAAUAACUCCACGAAAGGGGUGCUAAUACCGGAUAAUGUCUUCGGACCAAAGAUUUAUCGCCUUUGGAGGGGCCCGCGUGGGAUUAGCUAGUGGGUAGGGUAAAAGCCUACCAAGGCGACGAUCCAUAGCUGGUCUGAGAGGAUGAUCAGCCACACUGGGACUGAGACACGGCCCAGACUCCUACGCGAGGCAGCAGUGGGUAAUAUUGGACAAUGGGCGAAAGCCUGAUCCAGCAAUGCCGCGUGAGUGAUGAAGGCCUUAGGGUUGUAAAGCUCUUUUACCCGGGAUGAUAAUGACAGUACCGGGAGAAUAAGCUCCGGCUAACUCCGUG